rnacentral:hammerhead_ribozyme from 1 species
AUCCAGCUGAUGAGUCUCAAAUAGAACGAAACACGCGUCCUGGAU